GAAAGCAAGAAAGGGCGCACGGGGGAUGCCUGUGGCUCUCGGAGGCGAUGAAGGACGUGAUAAGCUGCGAAAAGCCGCGGGGAGAGGCAAAUGCUCCGUGAUCCGCGGAUGUCCGAAUGGGGGAACCCGGCGGUAGCGAUACCGUCACCGCACCUUGGUGGUGUGGAGCGAACGCGGGGAACUGAAACAUCUCAGUACCCGCAGGAAGAGAAAAUAACAAUGAUUGCGCCAGUAGUGGCGAGCGAACGCGCAAGAGCCCAAACCGCGGGUGUCAAGGCACCGCGCGGGGUUGUAGGACCGUCGCCAGUGUGGACUCAGGACGAUAGCGGAACGCGCUGGAAAGCGCGGCCACAGCGGGUGACAGCCCCUUACGCGAAAUCGUCCGGACGACAUCAGACGGCACCUGAGUACCGCGGAGCACGAGGAAUUCUGCGGGAAUCUGCGGGGACCAUCCCGUAAGGCUAAAUACUACCGAGAGACCGAUAGCGCACAAGUACCGUGAGGGAAAGGUGAAAAGAACCUCGAGCAGAGGAGUGAAACAGACCCUGAAACCGUGCGCCUACAAGCGGUGGGAGCCACCCCAGUGUGUGGUGACCGCGUGCCUUUUGCAUAAUGAACCUACGAGUCACCGUCGCCGGCGAGGUUAAGGGCGAGUACGCCCGCAGCCGAAGCGAAAGCGAGUCCGAAGAGGGCGAUUACAGUCAGCGGAGGUGGACGCGAAACCAAGUGAUCUACCCAUGGGCAGGAUGAAGGACGGGUGACUCCGUCUGGAGGUCCGAACCGGUAAGCGUUGAAAAGCUUUCGGAUGACCUGUGGGUAGGAGUGAAAGGCCAAUCAAACUUGGAGAUAGCUCGUACUCCCCGAAAUGUAUUUAGGUGCAGCCUCGGGCGAGAGUGGCGGAGGUAGAGCGACCGAUAGGAUGCGAGGGCUUCACCGCCUAUCAAGUCCUGCCGAACUCCGAAUGCCGCCCACUCGAUGUCCGGGAGUAAGGGCGCGGGUGCUAAGGUCCGCGUCCGAGAGAGGAACAACUCAGACCACCGUCUAAGGCCCCCAAAUCCGGGCCAAGUUGAAGACAAUAACGAAGUGCGGCCGCAGAGACAGCCAGGAUGUUGGCUUGGAAGCAGCCAUUCAUUUAAAGAGUGCGUAACAGCUCACCGGUCGAGCGGCCGCGCAUGGAUAAUAAUCGGGCAUAAGUCCGGUGCCGAAGACGUGGAAUCACAGUUUGUCUGUGAUUGGUAGGGGAGCAUUCCAUACCGUGUUGAAUGCCAGCCUUGAGGCUGACUGGAGCGUAUGGAAAAGCAAAUGUAGGUAUAAGUAACGAUAAAGGGGGCGGAAACCCCCCUCGCCGUAAGACCAAGGUUUCCUGAUCAACGCUAAUCGGAUCAGGGUCAGUCGGGACCUAAGCCGCACCCGCGAGGGGCAGGCGAUGGAAGAAGCGGUUAAUAUUCCGCUACCGGCACUGGCUGCGACGGAGAGACGGAGAAGUGACACGCCCGCGCGCUGACGGAAUAGCGCGUUGAAGGGUGUAGGCGCGGAGGGGCGCAGGCAAAUCCACGCCCCGAGCCGAGACCCGACAGUACAGCGAGCCCCCGGGCGAGCUGACAGCGGCGGUAAUCAUGCUCCCUAGAAAAUCUUCUAAGCCCCAGGCCAGAGCCGCCCGUACCGUAAACCGACACAGGUGGUCGGGUAGAAUAUACCAAGGCGCUCGAGUGAUUCACGGUUAAGGAACUAGGCAAACUGACCCCGUAACUUCGGGAUAAGGGGUCCCGUCCUCCGGGACGGGCGCAGAGAAUAGGUCCAGGCAACUGUUUAACAAAAACACAGGGCUGUGCGAAAUUGAAAGAUGAUGUAUACAGCCUGACACCUGCCCGGUGCCGGAAGGUUAAGAGGAGAGGUCAUCGCGAGAGAAGCCUUGAAUUGAAGCCCCGGUAAACGGCGGCCGUAACUAUAACGGUCCUAAGGUAGCGAAAUUCCUUGUCGGGUAAGUU
rnacentral:rRNA from 1 species